UGGAGAGACCACUCUCCAAGGCUAAAUACUCUCUCGUGACCGAUAGUGCACUAGUACCGGUGAGGGAAAGGUGAAAAGUACUCCGAGAAGGAGAGUGAAAUAGUACCUGAAACCGUACGCUUACAAGCAGUCGGAGGGGGCUUGUCCCCUGACGGCGUGCCUUUUGCAUAAUGAGCCGGCGAGUUACUUGUAUGCAGCGAGGUUAACUCACUCAGUGAGGUAGCCGAAGCGAAAGCGAGUCUUAAUAGGGCGCUAUAGUUGCAUGCAGUAGACCCGAAGCCAGGUGAUCUACCCAUGGCCAGGAUGAAACGUGAGUAAAAUCACGUGGAGGUCCGAACCGUCGUACGUUGAAAAGUGCUCGGAUGAGCUGUGGGUAGGGGUGAAAGGCCAAUCAAACCUGGAGAUAGCUGGUUCUCCCCGAAAUAGCUUUAGGGCUAGCCUCUUGUAAAAGAGUCGUGGAGGUAGAGCACUGGAUCGGCUAGGGGGCUUACCCGCUUACCAAACCGAACCAAACUCCGAAUGCCAUUGACUUGUUCCAAGGGAGUCAGCGUGCGAGGGAUAAACUCCGUACGCGAGAGGGAAACAACCCAGACCGUCAGCUAAGGUCCCUAAGUGUAGGCUAAGUGAUUAAAAGGAUGUGAAAUUGCUGAGACAGCUAGGAUGUUGGCUUAGAAACAGCCACCAUUUAAAGAGUACGUAACAGUUCACUAGUCAAGUGAUUUCGCGCCGACAAUGUAUCGGGGCUAAGUUUACCACCGAAGCUACGGACUCAGCAGCCGCUUGCGGUUGCUGUUUGGUAGGGGAGCGUUCCAUAGUAGGCUGAAGGUAAACCGUAAGGUUUGCUGGACGAGAUGGAAGUGAUUAUGUCGGCAUGAGUAGCGAUAAUGCGGGUGAGAAUCCCGCACACCGAAAAUCUAAGGUUUCCUGGGCUAGGCUCGUCCUCCUGGGGUUAGUCGGGACCUAAGCUGAGGCCGAAAGGCGUAGGCGAUGGAAAACAGGCUAAAUAUUCCUGUACCACUUACAGCGUGUUUGAGCUAUGGGGUGACGCAGAAGUGAAAGGUCAGCCAGCGAUUGGAAAUGCUGGUCUAAGCUCGUAGGAGGGUCAUCUAGGUAAAUCCGGAUGACCAAUACUCUGAGAGGCGAUGGGGAGCCGCUUAGCGGCAUAAACUGACCCUAAUCAGGCUGCCAAGAAAAACCUCUAUGUGAAUUCUGUAGGUGCCCGUACCGCAAACCGACACAGGUAGAUGAGGAGAGUAUCCAAAGGUGCGCGAGUGAACCCUCGUUAAGGAAUUCGGCAAAAUUAUCCCGUAACUUCGGAAGAUGGGAUGCCCCUAGUAGGUGAAGCCCCUCGCGGGUGGAGCCCAAAGGGGCCGCAGAGAAACGGGCUGGGCGACUGUUUACCAAAAACACAGGUCUCUGCUAAGCCGUAAGGCAAUGUAUAGGGACUGACACGUGCCCGGUGCCGGUAAGUUAAGAGGAUGAGUUAGUCUUCGGACGAAGCUUUGAAUCGAAGCUCCGGUAAACGGCGGCCGUAACUAUAACGGUCCUAAGGUAGCGAAAUUCCUCGUCGGCUAAAAACCGACCUGCACGAAUCGUGUAACGACUUGGCCGCUGUCUCAACGAGGGACUCGGUGAAAUUGUAGUUCCGGUGAAGAUGCCGGAUACCCGCGGCAGGACAGAAAGACCCCGUGAACCUUUACUAUAGCUUGGUAUUGGAUUUUGACACUGCAUGUGUAGGAUAGGUGGGAGGCUAUGAAGCGGGAGC
rnacentral:rRNA from 1 species